UGCAAGUCGAGCGGAGUGAUGGUGCUUGCACUAUCACUUAGCGGCGGACGGGUGAGUAAUGCUUAGGAAUCUGCCUAUUAGUGGGGGACAACAUUUCGAAAGGAAUGCUAAUACCGCAUACGUCCUACGGGAGAAAGCAGGGGAUCUUCGGACCUUGCGCUAAUAGAUGAGCCUAAGUCGGAUUAGCUAGUUGGUGGGGUAAAGGCCUACCAAGGCGACGAUCUGUAGCGGGUCUGAGAGGAUGAUCCGCCACACUGGGACUGAGACACGGCCCAGACUCCUACGGGAGGCAGCAGUGGGGAAUAUUGGACAAUGGGCGCAAGCCUGAUCCAGCCAUGCCGCGUGUGUGAAGAAGGCCUUAUGGUUGUAAAGCACUUUAAGCGAGGAGGAGGCUACUGAAGUUAAUACCUUUAGAUAGUGGACGUUACUCGCAGAAUAAGCACCGGCUAACUCUGUGCCAGCAGCCGCGGUAAUACAGAGGGUGCAAGCGUUAAUCGGAUUUACUGGGCGUAAAGCGCGCGUAGGCGGCUAAUUAAGUCAAAUGUGAAAUCCCCGAGCUUAACUUGGGAAUUGCAUUCGAUACUGGUUAGCUAGAGUGUGGGAGAGGAUGGUAGAAUUCCAGGUGUAGCGGUGAAAUGCGUAGAGAUCUGGAGGAAUACCGAUGGCGAAGGCAGCCAUCUGGCCUAACACUGACGCUGAGGUGCGAAAGCAUGGGGAGCAAACAGGAUUAGAUACCCUGGUAGUCCAUGCCGUAAACGAUGUCUACUAGCCGUUGGGGCCUUUGAGGCUUUAGUGGCGCAGCUAACGCGAUAAGUAGACCGCCUGGGGAGUACGGUCGCAAGACUAAAACUCAAAUGAAUUGACGGGGGCCCGCACAAGCGGUGGAGCAUGUGGUUUAAUUCGAUGCAACGCGAAGAACCUUACCUGGCCUUGACAUAGUAAGAACUUUCCAGAGAUGGAUUGGUGCCUUCGGGAACUUACAUACAGGUGCUGCAUGGCUGUCGUCAGCUCGUGUCGUGAGAUGUUGGGUUAAGUCCCGCAACGAGCGCAACCCUUUUCCUUAUUUGCCAGCGAGUAAUGUCGGGAACUUUAAGGAUACUGCCAGUGACAAACUGGAGGAAGGCGGGGACGACGUCAAGUCAUCAUGGCCCUUACGGCCAGGGCUACACACGUGCUACAAUGGUCGGUACAAAGGGUUGCUACCUAGCGAUAGGAUGCUAAUCUCAAAAAGCCGA
rnacentral:rRNA from 1 species